rnacentral:rRNA from 1 species
UACGUAGGGUGCAAGCGUUUGUCCGGAAUUAUUGGGGCGUAAAGCGCACGUAGGCGGCUUUGUAAGUUAGAGGUGAAAGCCCGGGGCUCAACUCCGGAACUGCCUUUAAGACUGCAUCGCUAGAAUUGUGGAGAGGUAAGUGGAAUUCCGAGUGUAGAGGUGAAAUUCGUAGAUAUUCGGAAGAACACCAGUGGCGAAGGCGACUUACUGGACACAUAUUGACGCUGAGGUGCGAAAGCGUGGGGGAGCAAACAGG